UAUGGAUGUGGCUCAGUGGUAGACUGCUUGCCUAGUAUGUGCAAGGCCCUGGGUUCAAUCCCCAGUACCACAA
rnacentral:tRNA from 1 species